UUGAACACUAUCAAGGCUGCUCUGUGGGCCCAGCACUCCAGCAAAUGAAUAGAAACAUAAUGUUCCUGCCAAGCUGAUUUAUCUAUCAUUUAACCAGAGUGAGCGAGAGAAGAAACAAACAGUGGGAGAAGAUGUCUCACGCACACUGAAGUUAGACCACUGCAAAACUGAGCCAGACGGCUUUGUUGUGCAGCUUUCUGAUGCCUCCAGGGGACAGCUGCUUAUCGGAGGGAGACUAUUAUGGGGUUGGGGCUGGAGAUGUUCCAUGCAGCAUCCUGCAAGGGGAAGCAGUUACUUUAUGAGAGCGAUGCUUCAACCAGCUAACUGGAUAGCCCUCCCUUUUGCAGCUGGUGUGGGUGAAGAUGUGGAAGCUUGAUUCUCCUUGGAAGCUCUGAUCACCCCAGCCCAGAACCACUAGUCCCCACUUAGUCUUGGAGAGGAGGCAAGGAUGUGUGUCCUCUGCGUGUAGCCUUACGGUCUGCAAAUGCUUAUGAAAACCUAUGAAAGAGAGACUAUUCAUUUUAGUUCCAUUUUAGAGAAAAAAAAAAAAAACCUGAAGCUUAGAACAUUUAAGAAAUUUUCCCUAAAUCCAUCUAGCUAGCAAGAAGUGGGGACAAAAUGAGAGUCCACUUGGCUCUCAGAUCCAGCCUCAAGUACCUUUGAGAGCCACAGGGGUUGCACAACAUGGACUUCCUCUGCUAGAGUGGGAAGACAGUCUUUUUUACAUGAAGAGAUUAGGAUAGGCUGGGCGCAGUGGCUCACACCUGUAAUCUCAACACUUUGAGAGACAGAUCACUUGAGGUCAGGAGUUCAAGACCAGCCUGCCAACAUGGUGAAACCUCAUCUCUACUAAAAAUACAAAAAUAGC
rnacentral:lncRNA from 10 species